rnacentral:rRNA from 1 species
GCAGCCCGCUCAGAAACUUAAAGGAAUUGACGGGGGCCCGCACAAGCGGUGGAGUAUGUGGUUUAAUUCGAUGCAACGCGAAGAACCUUACCUGGUCUUGACAUCCCGGAGACCCUUAGGAAACUAGGGGGUGCUUCCAUCUGGAAGAAUCUGGAGACAGGUGCUGCAUGGCUGUCGUCAGCUCGUGUCGUGAGAUGUUGGGUUAAGUCCCGCAACGAGCGCAACCCUUGCCUUUAGUUGCCAGCAGUUCGGCUGGGCACUCUAAAGGGACUGCCGGUGUUAAACCGGAGGAAGGUGGGGAUGACGUCAAGUCCUCAUGGCCUUUAUGACCAGGGCUACACACGUACUACAAUGGCCGAUACAAAGGGCAGCGACACUGCGAGGUGAAGCCAAUCCCGUAAAAUCGGUCUCAGUCCGGAUUGGAGUCUGCAACUCGACUCCAUGAAGUUGGAAUCGCUAGUAAUCGUGGAUUCAGCAUGCCACGGUAGAAUACGUUCCGGCCUU